UAUUCACUCUUCCUCUUACUCUCUCCAACAGCAGCCACCAGAGAGAUCCAAGGCGGCAACAUUCUACAACAACUCUAGUUAAAGUCAGAAACUCCGGCGAGGAUGAAGAAAAGCAACAAAAGCUUGUCGAUAGAUAUCCUAAUUCAGAACUGAAAGUGAUACUUUAAUACGGUUGAACAUAGAGUUCAAGACAUGAAGAAUUUCCAUGGAAGGAAAUAGACGAUUUGAUUUUAAUUGAUUUACGUUAUUUAAUCUCUAUUAUUUUUUUUAUAAUAAUUUGUAAAUUCCAACGCUAUGUAUGUGAUAUAUAUUUGGGGAUCGUCUAAAUAGGGGAGGAGAAUA